rnacentral:rRNA from 1 species
CGUAGAGAAAUCGAGUCUUAAUAGGGCGUUUAGUUGCUGGGUAUAGACCCGAAACCAGGCGAUCUAUCCAUGAGCAGGUUGAAGGUUGGGUAACACUAACUGGAGGACCGAACCCACUGUCGUUGAAAAGCCAGGGGAUGACUUGUGGAUAGGGGUGAAAGGCUAAUCAAGCCUGGUGAUAGCUGGUUCUCCCCGAAAGCUAUUUAGGUAGCGCCUCGGACGAAUACCAUAGGGGGUAGAGCACUGUUUCGGCUAGGGGGUCAUCCCGACUUACCAAACCGAUGCAAACUCCGAAUACCUAUGAGUACUAUCCGGGAGACAGACUGCGGGUGCUAACGUCCGUAGUCAAGAGGAAAACAAUCCAGACCGCCAGCUAAGGCCCCAAAAUCAUAGUUAAGUGGGAAACGAUGUGGGAAGGCAUAGACAGCUAGGAGGUUGGCUUAGAAGCAGCCACCCUUUAAAGAAAGCGUAAUAGCUCACUAGUCGAGUCGGCCUGCGCGGAAGAUGUAACGGGGCUAAAACUAUGUGCCGAAGCUGCGGAUGUAUACUUUGUAUACGUGGUAGGGGAGCGUUCUGUAAGCCGAUGAAGGUGUGUUGAGAAGCAUGCUGGAGGUAUCAGAAGUGCGAAUGCUGACGUGAGUAACGACAAAACGGGUGAAAAACCCGUUCGCCGAAAGACCAAGGGUUCCAGUCCAACGUUAAUCGGGGCUGGGUGAGUCGACCCCUAAGGCGAGGCCGAAAGGCGUAGUCGAUGGGAAAAUGGUUAAUAUUCCAUUACUUCUGUGUAAUGCGAUGAGAGGACGGAGAAGGCUAAAUCAGCCUGGCGUUGGUUGUCCAGGUGAAAGGAUGUAGGCAUGUAUCUUAGGCAAAUCCGGGGUACUCUAUGCUGAGAUCUGAUAGCAAGCUGUACUUGUACAGCGAAGUGGUUGAUGCCAUGCUUCCAGGAAAAGUCUCUAAGCUUCAGUUACACAGGAAUCGUACCCGAAACCGACACAGGUGGUCAGGUCGAGUAGACCAAGGCGCUUGAGAGAACUCUGCUGAAGGAACUAGGCAAAAUGGUACCGUAACUUCGGGAGAAGGUACGCUGUUGUUGGUGAUGGAACUCGCUUCCUGAGCUGACGACAGCCGCAGAAACCAGGCCGCUGCAACUGUUUAUUAAAAACAUAGCACUCUGCAAACACGAAAGUGGACGUAUAGGGUGUGAUGCCUGCCCGGUGCUGGAAGGUUAAUUGAUGGGGUUAGCGUAAGCGAAGCUCUUGAUCGAAGCCCCAGUAAACGGCGGCCGUAACUAUAACGGUCCUAAGGUAGCGAAAUUCCUUGUCGGGUAAGUUCCGACCUGCACGAAUGGCAUAAUGAUGGCGGCGCUGUCUCCAGCAGAGGCUCAGUGAAAUCGAAAUCGCUGUGAAGAUGC